rnacentral:rRNA from 1 species
AAGUGGCGAAAGGGCGAGGAAUACAUGGAUAACGUGCCUUUGGCAUGGGGACAGCUGAGGGAAACUUCAGGUAAUACCCAAUGAGACCACAGUGCUUUCGGGCACAGGGGUCAAAGAUGGGGCUCCUUCGGGACCUAUCGGCCAUAGAGCGGUCCAUGUCCUAUCAGCUUGUUGGUGAGGUAAUGGCUCACCAAGGCGACGACGGGUACCGGGACUGAGAGGUUGACCCGGCGCAUCGGGACUGAGACACUGCCCGGACUCCUACGGGAGGCUGCAGUAACGAAUAUUGGUCAAUGGGCGAAAGCCUGAACCAGCGACGCCGCGUGUGGGAGGAAGCCCUUCGGGGUGUAAACCACUGUCAGGGAUUACCAAGCAAUGGAGGCUAAUACCCUCCUGCGUUGAGGCGUCCCAGAGGAAGUCACGGCUAACUUCGUGCCAGCAGCCGCGGUAAUACGAAGGUGGCGAGCGUUGUUCGGAAUCACUGGGCUUAAAGAGCACGUAGGCGGACUGCCAAGCGUCUUGUGAAAUCCCCCGGCUCAACCGGGGAAUUGCUGGGCGAACUGGUAGUCUUGAGGCAAGUAGGGGCAGAUGGAACUCUUGGUGGAGCGGUGGAAUGCGUAGAUAUCAAGAGGAACGCCAGAGGCGAAGGCGAUCUGCUGGGCUUGACCUGACGCUGAGGUGCGAAAGCCAGGGGAGCAAACGGGAUUAGAUACCCCGGUAGUCCUGGCCAUAAACGAUGUCCACUAGAUCGGUGAACUUCUGACAGUGUGCCGGUCGAAACAAAAGCGUUAAGUGGACCGCCUGGGGAGUACGGUCGCAAGGCUAAAACUCAAAGGAAUUGACGGGGGCUCACACAAGCGGUGGAGCAUGUUGCUUAAUUCGAUGCAACGCGAAGAACCUUAUCCUGGGCUUGACAUGCUUGGAUGCCCAUCUGGAAACAGAGUAGGCUGCCCUUCGGGGUGAAACUUGCACAGGUGCUGCAUGGCUGUCGUCAGCUCGUGUCGUGAGAUGUUGGGUUAAGUCCCGUAACGAGCGAAAC